GCGAGCCGUAUGAUGGGAAACUAUCACGUACGGUUCUGAGGGCAGUUGCAAAAUAAAUCGCGCUGACCCUACCUUUAUUGGUAGUAAUUGAGUUCAUGAAACAUUUUUGCUUUAUAUAUAAAUAUGACACUUGAAUUACUUUUAACCCUGC
rnacentral:ncRNA from 1 species